rnacentral:misc_RNA from 1 species
AAGAACAGGAGUAGGGAGUCGAUUUACGAGAUAACAGGCUGUUUGGAAAGCAUAAGACCAAAAAUGUGCAGGUAAGGAAGCCGUUUGGAGAAGAGUGAGACCUGUUUCAACAAUGUGACGGUGUUUUCUUUCCGAAAUUCCAUUGUGUUGCGGUGUAUGUGGUGGAGUGAGUAAGUGUUGGAUCCCAUUUUGUUCAAGGAAAGGUUUAAGAGCUAAGAAUUCGCCUCCCUCAUCUGUGUAUAAUCGAAUUAAUGAUUUUUGGAACAAUUUUUCAGCUUGGGCCUUAA